rnacentral:rRNA from 1 species
GGACGGGUGGGGAGUGUCUGGGAACUGCUGAGUGAGGGGGAGUAACUACUGGAAACGGUAGCUAAUACCGCAUAACGUCGCAAGACCAAAGAGGGGGACCUUCGGGCCUCUUGCCAUCGGAUGUGCCCAGAUGGGAUUAGCUAGUAGGUGGGGUAACGGCUCACCUAGGCGACGAUCCCUAGCUGGUCUGAGAGGAUGACCAGCCACACUGGAACUGAGACACGGUCCAG